ensembl:lncRNA
GGGUAGGUCAUACUAUCUGAGGGGAGAGAGAGACCCUUCCGCCUAAUGGUUGAGUGGUAGGUCAUACUAUCUGAGGGGAGAGAGAGAGAGAGAGAGACCCUUCCCCCUAAUGGUUGAGGGUUAGGUCAUACUAUCUGAGGAGAGAGAGAGAGAGACCCUUCCCCCUAAUGGUUGAGGGGUAGGUCAUACUUUCUGAGGGGAGAGAGAGACCCUUCCCCCUAAUGGUUGAGGGUUUGGUCAUACUAUCCACCACCAUGUUUGACAGUGGGGAUGGUGUGUUCAGGGUGAUGAGCUGUGUUGCUUUUACGCCAAACAUAACGUUUUGCAUUGUUGCCAAAAAGUUCAAUUUUGGUUUCAUCUGACCAGAGCACCUUCUUCCACAUGUUUGGUGUGUCUCCCAGGUGGCAAACUUUAAACAACACUUUUUAUAGAUAUCUUUAAGAAAUGGCUUUUUUCUUGCCACUCUUCCAUAAAGGCCAGAUUUGUGCAAUAUACGACUGAUUGUUGUCCUAUGGACAGAGUCUCCCACCUCAGCUGUAGAUCUCUGCAGUUCAUCCAGAGUGAUCAUGGGCCCCUUGGCUGCAUCUCUGAUCAGUCUUCUCCUUGUAUGAGCUGAAAGUUUAGAGGGACGGCCAGGUCUUGGUAGAUUUGCAGUGGUCUGAUACUCCUUCCAAUUCAAUAUUAUCGCUUGCACAGUGCUCCUUGGGAUGUUUAAAGCUUGGGAAAUCUUUUUGUAUCCAAAUCCGGCUUUAAAAUUCUUCACAACAGUAUCUCGGACCUGCCUGGUGUGUUCCUUGUUCUUCAUGAUGCUCUCUGCACUUUUAACGGACCUCUGAGACUAUCACAGUGCAGGUGCAUUUAUACGGAGACUUGAUUACACACAGGUGGAUUGUAUUUAUCAUCAUUAGUCAUUUAGGUCAACAUUGGAUCAUUCAGAGAUCCUCACUGAACUUCUGGAGAGAGUUUGCUGCACUGAAAGUAAAGGGGCUGAAUAAUUUUACACGCCCAAUUUUUCAGUUUUUGAUUUGUUAAAAAAGUUUGAAAUAUCCAAUAAAUGUCGUUCCACUUCU